UGGCGAGUGGCGAGACGGGUGAGUAAUGUAUCGGAACGUGCCCAGUAGCGGGGGAUAACUACGCGAAAGCGUAGCUAAUACCGCAUACGCCCUACGGGGGAAAGCAGGGGAUCGCAAGACCUUGCACUAUUGGAGCGGCCGAUAUCGGAUUAGCUAGUUGGUGGGGUAACGGCUCACCAAGGCGACGAUCCGUAGCUGGUUUGAGAGGACGACCAGCCACACUGGGACUGAGACACGGCCCAGACUCCUACGGGAGGCAGCAGUGGGGAAUUUUGGACAAUGGGGGAAACCCUGAUCCAGCCAUCCCGCGUGUGCGAUGAAGGCCUUCGGGUUGUAAAGCACUUUUGGCAGGAAAGAAACGUCAUGGGUUAAUACCCCGUGAAACUGACGGUACCUGCAGAAUAAGCACCGGCUAACUACGUGCCAGCAGCCGCGGUAAUACGUAGGGUGCAAGCGUUAAUCGGAAUUACUGGGCGUAAAGCGUGCGCAGGCGGUUCGGAAAGAAAGAUGUGAAAUCCCAGAGCUUAACUUUGGAACUGCAUUUUUAACUACCGGGCUAGAGUGUGUCAGAGGGAGGUGGAAUUCCGCGUGUAGCAGUGAAAUGCGUAGAUAUGCGGAGGAACACCGAUGGCGAAGGCAG
rnacentral:rRNA from 1 species